CAAGUCUGCAGUGAAGGGGGACCCCAUGCUAGGCAGAGCGGGGUGUUUCUUAAGAGCCCCUCUCUUUGCAGCGCUGGUUUCUGUAUCCCCCUGAGAAAACCCCUGAGUUCCACCCCAACAAGACAACUCUAGCCUGGCUGCUGGACACAUACCCAUUCCUGCCACCGGAGGAACGCCCUGUGGAGUGCACCAUUCACCCUGGCGAGGUGCUGUAUUUCCCCGAUCGCUGGUGGCACGCCACCCUCAACUUGGACACAAGUGUCUUCAUCUCCACCUUCCUGGGGUAGAAACUCAGGGCUUUGCCUACCAGCCUGCCAUUCCUCAGGAGCUGAAUUGUUCACUUCCCUCCCGCCAAAGCCCUGGGAUGCUGCUGGUGAAUUCUAGCCAUCUCUCUCCACUGUAACCCUGCAGGCAGAGCUGGACUCUGGCAGUGGGGCUGAUCCAGCUCUAAUCCAUCUAGGAUUUAUCCUGGUCUAUAUG
rnacentral:lncRNA from 1 species